AGAGUUUGAUCCUGGCUCAGAUUGAACGCUGGCGGCAUGCUCCACACAGGGAAGUCGAGCGGCAGCGCGGGGGCAACCCUGGCGGCGAGCGGCGAACGGGUGAGUAAUGCAUCGGAACGUGUCCCGUAGUGGGGGAUAACCCGGCGAAAGCCGGACUAAUACCGCAUAUGCUCUACGGAGGAAAGCGGGGGAUUCCAAGGGAAACUGAGGAACCUCGCGCUAUGGGAGCGGCCGAUGUCCGAUUAGCUUGUUGGUGAGGUAAUGGCUUACCAAGGCGACGAUCGGUAGCUGGUCUGAGAGGAUGAUCAGCCACACUGGGACUGAGACACGGCCCAGACUCCUACGGGAGGCAGCAGUGGGGAAUUUUGGACAAUGGGGGCAACCCUGAUCCAGCCAUGCCGCGUGCGGGAAGAAGGCCUUCGGGUUGUAAACCGCUUUUGUCCGGAAAGAAAAGGCGCCUCCUAAUACGGGGCGCUCUUGACGGUACCGGAAGAAUAAGCACCGGCUAACUACGUGCCAGCAGCCGCGGUAAUACGUAGGGUGCGAGCGUUAAUCGGAAUUACCGGGCGUAAAGCGUGCGUAGGCGGUCCGCGAAGUCUGAUGUGAAAGCCCCGGGCUCAACCUGGGAACUGCAUUGGAAACUAACGGGCUCGAGUGUGGCAGA
rnacentral:rRNA from 1 species